rnacentral:rRNA from 1 species
AAUUUUGGACAAUGGGGGAAGCCCUGAUCCAGCCAUACUGCGGGUAUGAUGAAGGCCGUCGGGUUGUAAAGUACUUUUGGCAGAGAAGAAAAGGUAUCUCCUAAUACGAGAUACUGCUGACGGUAUCUGCAGAAUAAUCACCGGCUAACUCAGUGCCAGCAGCCGCGGUAAGACGUAGUGUGCAAGCGUUAAUCGGAAUGCAUGGGAGUAAAGCGUGUGUAGGCUGUUCGGAAAGAAAGAUGUGAAAUCCCAGGGCUCAACCUUGGAACUGCAUUUUUAACUGCCGAGCUAGAGUAUGUCAGAGGUAGGGAGAAUUCCACGUGUAGCAGUGAAAUGCGUAGAUAUGUGGAGGAAUACCGAUGGCGAAGGCAGCCCCCUGGGAUAAUACUGACGCUCAGACACGAAAGCGUGGGGAGCAAACAG